GUGUGAAGUUUCCUUCAUCUAAGAUUGAUGGGACAAGUGUCCUGGGUGCUGGACCCUGGAGGCUGGUCUGGACUUGGUAGGAACAUUUGUGCAGCUGGGUGUCUGCACCACAGAUUCACUACAAGUCCGACUGGUUUGGAGAUGUGGUAUGCAGAUGACUGGUAUGGAGGUUCCUUAAAAACCGAAAACAGAGCUAUCAUAUGAUCCUGCAAUCCCACCCCUGGGCUUAUAGCUUAUAGCUACAUAAGCUUAUAGCUACAUAAAAAUAUAGUCCAGAGGAUAUAUGCACCCCAGUGUUCAUUGCAGUGCUAUUGACAAUAGCCAGCACACGGGAGCAACCUAAAUGUCCGUCGUCAGAGGAAUGGAUGAAGAUGUGGUACAGAUAUACAACGGAAUAUCAUUCAGCCACAAAAAAAGAAUGAAAUAGUGCCGUUUGCAGCAACAUGGACGGGCCUGGAGAUGAUCACACGAAGUGAACACAGACUGUGGCCCUCUAGGCUCCUCUGUCCAUGGGAUUCUCCAGGCAAGGAUAUUGGAGUGAGCUGCCAUUUCCUUCUCCAGAGGAUCUUCCCAACCCAGGAAUCAAGCCCACGUUUCUUGUGUCUCCUGCAUUAGCAGAUGGAUUCUUUACCACUGAGCCACCAGCGAAGCCCACAGAAUAGAUACAAGGCCAGGGAAAGCCAAAUACACGUGCCUGGCCAGCCACAGAGGAUGCCCAGCUUCUAGUGCGGGGGCAACGGCCUCCAGCCAGGCAUCCCUGGAGCGCCCCUUUCCCCAUUACAGAGCUUUCCCACUCCUCCGCCUGCCUUUGUGUCUGCCAAAACCAAGCGAGGGGGACUGACUCCCCUGCUGUAACCAGCUAUGAAUAAAGAGCC
ensembl:lncRNA